UGAAUACGAGAUGCUACGGCGUCGAAGCAGUCUAUGUCAUACUUCCAAGAAAAGCUUGCACUGUCAUAAACAAAUAAUGCCUGUACCAUAACCGACACAGGUGGGUAGGUAGAGUAUACUAAGGGGCGCGAGAUAACUCUCUCUAAGGAACUCGGCAAAAUGACUCCGUAACUUCGGGAGAAGGAGUGCCUUAUUUUAUAAGGUUGCAAUAACAAGAUCCAAGCAACUGUUUACCAAAAACACAGGUCUCCGCUAAGUCGUAAGACGAUGUAUGGGGGCUGACGCCUGCCCAGUGCCAGAAGGUUAAAGAAGUUGGUUAGCAUCCGCGAAGCUGAUAACUGAAGCCCUGGUGAACGGCGGCCGUAACUAUAACGGUCCUAAGGUAGCGAAAUUCCUUGUCGGGUAAGUUCCGACCCGCACGAAAGGCGUAAUGAUUUGGAUACUGUCUCAGAGAGGGGCUCGGUGAAAUAGACUUGUCUGUGAAGAUGCGGACUACCUGCACCAGGACAGAAAGACCCUAUGAAGCUUUACUGUAACUUGAAAUUGAAAUUGGACUUUACUUGCGCAGUAUAGGUGGGAGGCGUUGAGAAUAUUCUUGCGGGAAUGUUGGAGCCAUCAGUGAGAUACCACUCUUGUAAUGUUAGAUUUCUAACUUUGUAUCAUUAUCUGGUCAAAGGACAGUUUCAGGCGGGCAGUUUGACUGGGGCGGUCGCCUCCCAAACGGUAACGGAGGCGCACAAAGGUUUCCUCUGAACGGGUAGAAAUCGUAUCUAGAGUGUAAAGGCAUAAGGAAGCUUGACUGUGAGACCUACAAGUCGAGCAGGGACGAAAGUCGGUCUUAGUGAUCUGACGGUGCUGAGUGGAAAGGCCGUCACUCAACGGAUAAAAGUUACUCUAAGGAUAACAGGCUGAUCUCCCCCAAGAGUUCACAUCGACGGGGAGGUUUGGCACCUCGAUGUCGGCUCAUCGCAUCCUGGGGCGGUAGUACGUCCCAAGGGUUGGGCUGUUCGCCCAUGAAAGCGGUACGCGAGCUGGGUUCAGAACGUCGUGAGACAGUUCGGUCCAUAUCCGGUGUAGGCGUUAGAAUAUUGAGAGGAGCCUUCUUUAGUACGAGAGGACCGAGAAGGACAUACCUCUGGUGUACCAGUUAUCGUGCCAACGGUAAACGCUGGGUAGCUAUGUAUGGAGUGGAUAACCGCUGAAAGCAUCUAAGUGGGAAGCCCACCUCAAGAUAAGUAUUCCC
rnacentral:rRNA from 1 species